CUACUAGUACUUUUUUUUUAUUUUAAUGUUUGUUAAAUUAUAAAAAAAAUUUCAGUUUUUUUUUUUUUUUUCCUGUCAUUCAAAAACCGUUAGGGUUCUGAUUAUAUCAUAUUUGUUAUACUCGGAACACCUCUAAAAUCCUCCUCCUUCCUUAUCCUCGGCCGCGUCUCCUCACCCUCCGCCGCCUCGCUCUCGCCCAUCUCUCUGUCCAUGCCCGCACACACAUCGUCGCCGGCCUCCGUCGCCUCGCCCUCCGCCUCGGCCUCGCCCUCCGCCUCGGCCUCGCCCUCCGCCUCUGCCUCGCCCUCGCCUACCUCUCUGUCCAUCCCCACCACACACACGCCCUCGCACGCCUCUGCCGCCUCACCCUCGGCCUCGCCCUCGCCCUAGCUCACCUCUCCGUCCACGCCCACCCCAAAGAGAUGAGAAAAAAUUUGAUCAUUUUGUCAGAGCAUACCUUCCUAUAAAUAUUUUUUAUUGUUUAAAGGGUAAAGUGUAGGUUUUUAAAUGACGGGGGGAAGUGAAAAAACGGAUAUUGAUAGGAAGAUUUUUUAUAAUUUAGCUUUUAGUAUUCUGUGGUUUAAAAUAGAGUUGAGUUAGAAUGCUAUCGAUAACAAACGAGUUCCGUUGUCAUUCAUUUGUUUUCGAUGAUAGAGCCUCCAAAUCGACGAUCGACAUUGUUGAAUAUAAUCUAUACCACUUGAAGUGUUUAGAAAUCAAAUUUCAUGCAUUUCCGAUAUUGUUUUCUUAUUCAUUAAGUGGACACAAAAAUUAACGGGUAAAAAUGGAUAAUUUUUAAAAAGUGAUGAUAGGAGUCUUGUAAUCAAGAUAAAGAGUAUAGAUCUUAUUUUAAAUAGUUUUAAAAAAAAUUUAACAAAAAUUUAAUUGAUUUGGACAUCUUUACACUGUUAAAGGAGAAAACGCCUCAUAUCGACCAUUAAAAUUAUAAAUUUGAAACCCUUUGAUCAUUAGACAAAUGAUGUCGAAAAGAUUUGAAAUUUUGAUUUCUAAAAACUUCAAAUGGUAUAGAUCAUAUUUAACGGAGCCAAUCGUCAAUUUGGAGGCUCCAUCAUCAAAAAUAAAUGGGCGGUAACGAAACUCGUUUGUUACAGAUAGCAUUCCAACUCAACUCGUUUAAAAUUUAUCACUUUAGUAUCUUGUAGUUUUAUUUUUCUUUUUUCGUUAUUCCUUAUAUUAAUUUUUCUAUUAAAUCAGCAACAAAGUUAAAACCAUGGGGUAUUAAAGUAAAAAUUCGGCAAAUUACAGUAUACUAAAGUGAAUAUUCGAUAAAACAUAGGUAGGGUAUCUAAAGGUUUUUUGUAUAUGAUUUAAUAAAAAAUUAACGGAUGUGCUAACGGAAAGAGAAAAAUAAAAUCAUGGAAUACACAAAAUAAUACACUUUAAACCACGUAGUACUGAAGUGCGAAAGCGCGAAACCACAUGGGUGGUAUUUGAAGUUUAUCCUAACAUUUAUUAUGAAUAAGAGUUCAAAUAAAAAAUAUUUUAUUUUUGAUAUUAGUGUUUAUAUAUAGU
rnacentral:lncRNA from 1 species